GACCUCAAGUCANGCGGGGCUACCCCCUGAAUUUNAGCAUAUCAAUAAGCGGAGGAAAAG
rnacentral:rRNA from 1 species